rnacentral:rRNA from 1 species
AGAUGAACCUUUCCUUCGGGACACAAAGCAAGGUAAAGCAUGGCCGUCAGCAGAUCGUGACGUGAGGUAGUUGGUUAAAUCGCGCGACGAGCGCAGAGCCUAUGUUGAAUAGACAGCAAUGUAAUGAGAGGGACUCUAGACAGACUAGAUGCGCAAGCAGUGAGGAAGGCGGGGACGACGUCAGGUCAUCAUGGGCCUUACGCCUAGGGCGACACACGUGCUACAAUGGGCGGGACAGCGGGGUGGCUACUGGGCGACCAGAUGCCAAGCUCGAAAAACCGUUCUCAGUUCGGAUUGGAGUCUGCAACUCGACUCCAUGAAGCUGGAAUCACUAGUAAUCGCGCAUCAGGGCAUGGCGCGGUGAAUACGUUCCCGGGCCUUGUACACACCGCCCGUCAAACCAUGAAAGUCUGGUAGACCUGAAGCUGGCGCUCCGCAACGGAGCCAGUUAGGGUAGAACAGGUAAUUAGGGCUAAGUCGUAACAAGGUAGCCGUACCGGAAGGUGCGGCUGGAUCACC